rnacentral:rRNA from 1 species
GACGAACGCUGGCGGCGCGCCUAACACAUGCAAGUCGAACGAGCGAGAGAGAGCUUGCUUUCUCAAGCGAGUGGCGAACGGGUGAGUAACGCGUGAGGAACCUGCCUCAAAGAGGGGGACAACAGUUGGAAACGACUGCUAAUACCGCAUAAGCCCACGACCCGGCAUCGGGUAGAGGGAAAAGGAGCAAUCCGCUUUGAGAUGGCCUCGCGUCCGAUUAGCUAGUUGGUGAGGUAACGGCCCACCAAGGCGACGAUCGGUAGCCGGACUGAGAGGUUGAACGGCCACAUUGGGACUGAGACACGGCCCAGACUCCUACGGGAGGCAGCAGUGGGGAAUAUUGCACAAUGGGGGAAACCCUGAUGCAGCGACGCCGCGUGGAGGAAGAAGGUCUUCGGAUUGUAAACUCCUGUUGUUGAGGAAGAUAAUGACGGUACUCAAAAAGGAAGUGACGGCUAACUACGUG